rnacentral:lncRNA from 1 species
UUCUCGAGGCCUCCAAAUCGCCGCCGGAGAAGAAGAACAAAAGUGAAAUCUCUCUCAUUUGGUAUUUUUUGUCCAAUGUUCUGAUUUAUGUUUACAAAAGAAAUUCUAAUAUGACAUCUAAUUUGAAAUCGUUGGGGCUAUGGUUUAUUUCUUGAAAAUUGGAUUUCGGACAGGUUGUGGUAUGAUAAUUUGUGUUGCAUACUUCUAUUUUUUUUUUUCUUUCUUUUGAGAAUUUGUCAAUGCAAGGCUUCCAUCUUAUUGGUUUUCUAUUCUACUUUUAGAAUUUUGAGCAGCCUAUAUGCCAAUGUUGGGUAUCACAGAUGGUCUGUCUAUGUUUACAAAAGAAAUUUAGUUGUUAAGUGAUAUAACAUUCAUGCUUCUUGGUCUAUUGUGAUUAAAUCUGAUAAAAGGGUUUUUCAAACAUAUCAUUUCUUCGAGGGAAAUAGUUUUCAAUCAGCCUAUUUUCAGACUGUAAUGGGCGUAGUUUCAUUAUCUAAAAAUAAUUUUGAUUGUCAUCUCAUAUUUUUGUUUGAGGUAGAAGUAGCGGUGUAAAUUAAUAAUCCACAUGGUUUAUCUAUUUCUUUCUUUCUGAUAAAAAGUUUCCCAUGUUUCAGGAGUCAAAUUGAAAAAAUAUGCAGGAGAAAGAUGCAAGCUUUUCGUCUUUCGGUCAAUAUUUUUGCAAAUUUAAGGCUAUCCCAUGCAAAGGCAAACCCCCAUUUUUAUUUGCUGGUGCUGUCUUGAAUAGCUGCAAACUGAGGUCCAGGGUUCGAUCCCAAAUGGCAUCCAUUGGAAAGGUAAAAUCUGGUAUUAAACAUGUGGUUUGUGGUUUUAUUGUGCCAGAAAAGCUGUA